UACGUAGGGUGCAAGCGUUAAUCGGAAUUACUGGGCGUAAAGCGUGCGCAGGCGGCUUUGCAAGACAGAUGUGAAAUCCCCGGGCUCAACCUGGGAACUGCAUUUGUGACUGCAAGGCUGGAGUACGGCAGAGGGGGAUGGAAUUCCGCGUGUAGCAGUGAAAUGCGUAGAUAUGCGGAGGAACACCGAUGGCGAAGGCAAUCCCCUGGGCCUGUACUGACGCUGAGGCACGAAGGUCAGGGGAGCAAACGGG
rnacentral:rRNA from 1 species